rnacentral:rRNA from 1 species
GUUGAACGCUGGCGGCGUGCUUAACACAUGCAAGUCGAACGGUAAAGGCGGUGCUUGCUCUGCUGGAUCAGUGGCGAACGGGUGAGUAACACGUGAGCAAUCUGCCCCUGACUAUGGGAUAACCGCUGGAAACGGCGUCUAAUACUGGAUACGAGCUGCGAAGGCAUCUUCAGCAGCUGGAAAGAACGUCGGUCCGGGAUGAGCUCGCGGCCUAUCAGCUUGUUGGUGAGGUAACGGCUGACCAAGGCGUGGACCGGUAGCCGGCCUGGGAGGGUGACCGGCCACACUGGGACUGCGAGACGGAGCAGACUCCUACGGGAGGCAGCAGUGGGGAAUAUUACACAAUGGGCGAGAGCCUAAUGCAGCAACGCCGCGUGAGGGAAGACGGCCUUCGGGGUGUAAACCGCUUUCAGCAGGGAAGAAGCGAAAGUGACGGUACCUUAAGAAAAAGCGCCGGCUAACUACGUG